UCGUGACCUUUCCCGCCUUGACCCAAAAGC
rnacentral:piRNA from 1 species